GAGGAAUAUUGGUCAAUGGGCGAGAGCCUGAACCAGCCAAGUCGCGUGAAGGAAGACUGCCUUAUGGGUUGUAAACUUCUUUUGCAGGAGAGUAAAAAAGGGGAUGCGUCCCCUAUUGCAAGUAUCCUGCGAAUAAGCAUCGGCUAACUCCGUGCCAGCAGCCGCGGUAAUACGGAGGAUGCGAGCGUUAUCCGGAUUUAUUGGGUUUAAAGGGUGCGUAGGCGGAGUAAUAAGUCAGUGGUGAAAUCUAGCGGCUCAACCGCUAAACUGCCAUUGAAACUGUUACCCUUGAGUAUAGAUGAAGUAGGCGGAACUCGUUGUGUAGCGGUGAAAUGCAUAGAUAUAACGAAGAACCCCGAUUGCGUAGGCAGCUUACUAAACUAUAACUGACGCUGAAGCACGAAAGCGUGGGUAUCAAAC
rnacentral:rRNA from 1 species